rnacentral:piRNA from 1 species
UGGGACUUAGUAGAAGCAGGCCGCUCC